rnacentral:rRNA from 1 species
GAACGGGUGCGUAACACGUGGAUAACCUUCCUUCAGGUGGGGAAUAACCCAGUGAAAACUGGGCUAAUACCGCAUAACAUGACGAUGGCACAUGCUGUUGACUUCAAAGGCGCAAGUCGCCAGAAGAGGGAUCCGCGGCCGAUUAGCUUGUUGGCGAGGUAAUGGCUCACCAAGGCAUUGAUCGGUAGCCGGACUGAGAGGUUGGCCGGCCACACUGGAACUGAGACACGGUCCAGACUCCUACGGGAGGCAGCAGUGGGGAAUCUUGCACAAUGGACGAAAGUCUGAUGCAGCAACGCCGCGUGGGGGAUGAAGCUUCUCGGAGUGUAAACCCCUUUCGACCCGGAAGAAUGCCCGCAAGGGUUUGACGGUACGGGUAUAAGAAGCCCCGGCUAACUACGUGCCAGCAGCCGCGGUAAUACGUAGGGGGCCAGCGUUGCUCGGAAUUACUGGGCGUAAAGGGUCUGUAGGCGGUGCGGCAAGUCGAUAGUGAAAUCCCUAGGCUUAACCUAGGGGCUGCUAGCGAAACUGCCGUGCUAGAGUGUGAGAGAGGCGAGUGGAAUUACGGGUGUAGCGGUGAAAUGCGUAGAUAUCCGUAGGAACAUCCGAG